rnacentral:pre_miRNA from 1 species
GCCAGGAAGAGGAAGAAUGAGAUGGCCUGAGAGCGGUGGGAAUGGGAACAUGGAGGAAAGCCUAAAUUGUUUGGAUUCUCCUCCAACAAUGAAGGUUGAACUUGGUUUCGGCUUUCCCAAUGCCUCCCAUUCCUAUUACUCUCGAGCACUCCUUCCUCUUCUUUUUGCUU